rnacentral:rRNA from 1 species
GUAGUCAAUCUACCCUAUGGACGGGAAUAACCUCGGGAAACUGAGAAUAAUGCCCGAUAGAACAUUAUGCCUAGAAUGGUUUAUGUUUCAAAUGAUUUAUCGCCAUAGGAUGGGACUGCGGCCUAUCAGUUUGUUGGUGAGGUAAUGGCCCACCAAGACUAUUACAGGUACGGGCUCUGAGAGGAGUAGCCCGGAGAUGGGUACUGAGACACGGACCCAGGCCCUAUGGGGCGCAGCAGGCGAGAAAACUUUGCAAUGUGCGAAAGCACGACAAGGUUAAUCCGAGUGGUUUCUGCUAAAGAAACCUUUUGUCAGUCCUAGAAACACUAACGAAUAAGGGGUGGGCAAGUUCUGGUGUCAGCCGCCGCGGUAAAACCAGCACCUCAAGUGGUCAGGAUGAUUAUUGGGCCUAAAGCAUCCGUAGCCCGUUUUGUAAGUUUUCGGUUAAAUCCAUGCGCUUAACGUAUGGGCUGCCGGGAAUACUGCAUAACUAGGAAGUGGGAGAGGUAGACGGUACUCGGUAGGAAGGGGUAAAAUCCUUUGAUCUAUUGAUGACCACCUGUGGCGAAGGCGGUCUACCAGAACACGUUCGACGGUGAGGGAUGGAAGCUGGGGGAGCAAACCGGAUUAGAUACCCGGGUAGUCCCAGCUGUAAACUAUGCAAACUCAGUGAUGCAUUGGCUUAUGGCCAAUGCAGUGCUGCAGGGAAGCCGUUAAGUUUGCCGCCUGGGAAGUACGUACGCAAGUAUGAAACUUA